GAUGAAGAACGCAGCGAAAUGCGAUACGUAAUGUGAAUUGCAGAAUUCAGUGAAUCAUCGAGUCUUUGAACGCACAUUGCGCCCCCUGGUAUUCCGGGGGGCAUGCCUGUCCGAGCGUCAUUGCCGCCCUCAAGCACGGCUUGUGUGUUGGGCCCCCGCCCCCCGGCUUCGGCGGGCGGGCCCGAAAGGCAGCGGCGGCACCGCGUCCGGUCCUCGAGCGUAUGGGGCUUCGUCACCCGCUCUGUAGGCCCGGCCGGCGCCCGCCGGCGACCCCAAUCAAUCUUUCCAGGUUGACCUCGGAUCAGGUAGGGAUACCCGCUGAACUUAAGCAUAUCAAUAAGCGGAGGA
rnacentral:misc_RNA from 1 species